CGCGAAAGUAGUGCAUUUCCCUCCAAAACUCUUUGUUGUUUAAAUCACCCCCUGAAUGAUCGUCAGUCUGUUUGGAGCAGCUCUUCUCUGAGGACAUGAACACAGUAAACAGUGGGACUUGUCUUCAGCUUCAAGUGGAACAGCUCUGACCUGUAUGGUGAGCAGACACGGAGAGGAGAGACACCUGGUCCAACAAGGUGAUGGACGGUUGACAGGACGUAUCACCAAGAUAAACAAGACGAGCCAAAUAAUGGAGAGGGGCCGCCACAGGAGCCUGAAGGAAAAGUAACUAGAGCAGCCAGGAGCUGAAAGCGUGGGCAGAGGAACAGGCUGCUGAGGACGAGUU